UAGCAUAUCAAUAAGCGGAGGAAAAGAAACCAACAGGGAUUGCCCCAGUAACGGCGAGUGAAGCGGCAAGAGCUCAAAUUUGAAAUCUGGCCUCCUCCGGGGGUCCGAGUUGUAAUUUGCAGAGGAUGCUUCGGGUGCGGCCCCCGUCUAAGUUCCUUGGAACAGGACGUCAGAGAGGGUGAGAAUCCCGUCUUGGGCGGGCGGCCCGCGCCCGUGUGAAGCUCCUUCGACGAGUCGAGUUGUUUGGGAAUGCAGCUCUAAGCGGGUGGUAAAUUUCAUCUAAAGCUAAAUAUUGGCCGGAGACCGAUAGCGCACAAGUAGAGUGAUCGAAAGGUUAAAAGCACCUUGAAAAGGGAGUUAAACAGCACGUGAAAUUGUUGAAAGGGAAGCGCUUGCGGCCAGACUCGGGGGCGGGGUUCAGCGGGCGCUCGUCGCCCGUGCACUCCCCGCGCCCCGGGCCAGCAUCAGUUUCGACGGUCGGUCAAAGGCCCCCGGAAUGUGUCGUCUCUAGGGACGUCUUAUAGCCGGGGGUGCAAUGCGGCCCGUCGGGACUGAGGAACGCGCUUCGGCUCGGAUGCUGGCGUAAUGGCCGUAAGCGGCCCGUCUUGAAACACGGACCAAGGAGUCUAACAUCCACGCGAGUGUUCGGGUGUCAAACCCGUGCGCGCAGUGAAAGCGAACGGAGGUGGGAGCCUUUGGGCGCACCAUCGACCGAUCCUGAAGUCUUCGGAUGGAUUUGAGUAGGAGCGUGGCCGUUGGGACCCGAAAGAUGGUGAACUAUGCCUGAAUAGGGUGAAGCCAGAGGAAACUCUGGUGGAGGCUCGCAGCGGUUCUGACGUGCAAAUCGAUCGUCAAAUUUGGGCAUAGGGGCGAAAGACUAAUCGAACCAUCUAGUAGCUGGGUUCCGGGCCCA
rnacentral:rRNA from 1 species